AUUAAGCCCCUGUGAGACUCGGUCGUCUAACUAAGUCAGCAGCCUCACCAAGUCAUCCUCAUUGCCACCAUCUCCAUCCACAUGUUUUAAAGCCUUUGUGACUCCGUUGACAUGCUCUCUGUCAAUCCAGGCUUUAAUUUCAGUCUCGAUAGCGCAGCGACUCGAAUGAUGGAGUGAGACGAGACUCGCCGAGUUAAAAAGCUUUUGAGGCUAUUAUGGUUGUGCUAUCUAUGAAGGUUUGGACAAGGGUUUUGAGGUCGGCGAGGUGUUGAACGAGAGUAUGAAAAUGUGGGUCCUUGGGAGAGGAGGGCAUCGGAUUCGGUCUCGAGCUCGAGCGGAGCUUUAACGACGGAUGAGUUGAACUCAGCUGAGUUGGAACUAGGGUGCGCUUGGACUUACAAUUGAUUAUUCAUGGAGUUUAUGUGAAAUAGAGGCAAUGAUCACUCACUGAGUCACUGUAUACAAACAUCAUCAAGGUAAUUUCGUCUUUUCAAAGGCAACUAACUGUCAACGAAAAAUUUAACUAAUGGUGAGCAGGUGCUUACAAAUAAAUUGAUUGUUGUCAUCUAUUUGUAACUACCUCAAAACUCAGGAGAGAUUUUUAAAAAUUAUCCUUUCUAUUUUUUGCGCCUCCUUUUAAACAUUAUCGUAUCGCUUGAGAUUUUUACCAUUUUAUUUAAGAAGAAUAAUCUUUGACUUUUUGAGAUUACUUUUCUCAUUAGAACUCAAAUCUUUUAAUUAUGUGUCUUUUCACAUUAAUUAAUGAAACGAAAAUUUAGAUAAAAAAAUUAAUAAACAUUUAAAUAAAUAUUUACAAAUUAAUAUGACAUGACUCCUGUAAGUUCACGAGCUUCUUCCACCCAAAAAUAAAUAAAUAAAUAAAUUCAUUUACUAAAGUUGGGUUAACGUCUUAACGAUAUAAGCCACUAGGGCUUGGCUCAAGUGGCUAGAGCCACUCUCUCAUAAGUGUGAGAGAAAUGAUUCGAGCCACAACAGACGCAUUAGAGGGGUUAAUUUAAAUUUCAUUCCUCGAAGCUUCAAAACUUGAGUGAAUAUAAUCUUUCUUCCAAAAAUAGAGUUGACGUCCCUUGAAUAUUUGAGAGGGUUAAAAAAAGUUAAAAAUUUGAGCGGUGUCAUAUUAGAAAUUGUAUGAUUGUAAAUAUAAAUGUCUUAACGAUAUAUAAAGACAUGUAUUGAUCAUGACAUAUGAUUUGAUGUCCCUCGAAUAUUUGAGAAGAUUAAAAAAUUUGAGCAGUGUCAUAUCAGAAUUGAUGUAAACAAUUCUCAAUAAUUAUAUGAUUAUAAAUAUCAUGAGUAAUAAUCUCUUAAAAAAAAAACGUUUUAACAAUAUAUAAAGACAUGUAUUGCUGAUGGCAUAUGAUUUGACUAUCGUCGUUAAAUAUGUACCAUAGCUAAAUAUAGACCGGUUUUAAUUUGAUUAGAUAAAAGAAUUAAACUUAGUGAAGCAUUGACCCACUUUGAGGAGAGUGUUGGAAUAUGCUAAAGCUGGGGCUUUGGGGCUCUGGGCAGGUAUAUGAAUGAUGAGUUGCCAUCCACGAGUUAUCCCAAUACAUGCAUAAAAACAUUAGGCAUUAAGCUAGCUUUGUUGCUAGUUAUUUUGACCCAAGAAGGUUCAAAUUAUAGAGGUUUUUAACAAGCUGUUCUUCAACAAGAACUGGGAUUUUUAAUCUGAAGCUGACAAUGGAUAAGAGAAAUGCCGUCACUAGAAACGGCAAUGGGGUUUCACUCUUUGCGGGAUAACCGUUGAGAUGCAUGACAUAACAAUCUGCCAAUUCAUCUGUUUGCUAAUGUUGCUGUCUACUAAUCCACGGCUUCAUAUACGUUUACAUCUGUAGUUGCUAGCAGGCCUUGUUGUAACAUCACCUGGUCACCUACUCACACUUUUAAUUUCAAGAUUAUGUCCACUUCAUAACUUCAAAAUUAUAGUGGCCCCGGUUCAUUUUUUCAGAUUAGUAUUGGGUAAGAUUAGGCUCACAACAUGAUAUUGCAAGUCUGUAACAUUUUAAAUAUCUCGUCCCGCAGCAAGAUUUAAGCUGGGUACAGACAGCUGCACUCACUAUUAUUGAUACUGUCAUUUCUUCCAUCACCAUCUUCUCUCUGCUUAGGAGCUAAUAAUGAUGUGAUCUUUAUCCCCAAAAGUCUGUCUACUGUACAAUGGCUAAAAUGGAAGAAGAAUGAUUUUUCACAUUUAACCUUUUAAGUUAGUAUUUGUAAAGGACCAUUAUUGAAAGAAAGAAAUUUGGAAGAAAAUAUAUAUCUAUAUUACUUUAACGGAUAGAGAUACAAAUGGAAGCUGCGUUAAUCCAUAUGUAUAACAAAGAAUAAAAAAUCAGCAAUUCCUACAGAAAUAAUCAUUUUUUUUGGCUGAGUGAACAAAAAUUAAGAAGAAAAUGCACAAUCGCAAUAUUUGUACAAGAAUCAAGCAGCAGGACCUGGUUUCUGGAUCUCAAAUGAGAGCCUCGAGCUGUUUCUGGUUUCCAAUCAUAUUUCAGAAAUUUGUCCCCAAUUCUGCAUACCAUAGACACACUCAUGGCAUAUAGGAACUCCGAUCCUCAUAUUCUCGACUUCUCCAACUAGUCUGAGAUUGGUUGUAAAAAUCUGAACUAUAGUCUUGACUACCACCAAAUGCCAACCUUUGAAACAUUCUGAUUUGUGCAGAAUGUUGUGCUGAACUGAAAAUUCCACUUUGGCCGGGUUUCACUCCAUUAGUGAGAUCUGAUGCUCCAUCUAAUGUGUCUAAAGCUCUCACUACCUGAUUAAGUAAAGAAAAGAAACUUCUGUUAUUAAACUUCAACUAGAAAUGAAAAAAACGGAAAUUUCUUUGUCGUUCAAACAUGAUUUUACCUGACUCAUUCUCGGUCUUUUUGUUGCUGAAUGGCGCACACAAGCUGCAGCUGCCUCAAUCAUCCAAAACAUUUCACUGUCCACAUAGUUCUUUUCCAGCCUAGAAUCUACCAAGGCUUCAAAAUCCUCAUGUUCAAGUGCUUCAGCAAGCAAUGGUCGAGCCUGAACAACACACGAAAUAAUCAUUAGCUAUAUUACAAGAUGGUCAUUGGAGCCCUUGGACAUGCUGAAGAGAAAAUUUUGAAUGUAUCCAUUUGACCAUUCACUUUAGUUAAUGUCAUUAUCUAGCAAAUAUAUAGAAGUUCUCUAUUUAAUUACUUUAAUGGAAGACAAAAAAUAAAAAUCUUUGUUAUAACGGAAGACAAAAUCUUUGGUAUAAUAUCUGGCUGUAUACAGAAGUUUGAGGUCUUUAUAACUUACCCACUCAACCAGGCUCUCAUCACCCAAUGGUUGAGAAGCAUCCACAGGCUUGCGACCUGUGAUUAGCUCCAAAAGCACAACCCCAAACGAAUAAACAUCAGACUUUUCUGUCAGCUUACCACUUGUUGCAUAUUCUGGAGCCAUGUAUCUGGAAAUCACACCCAUUGAUCAGAUAUAUAUAAAUAGGAUAUAAGAUAACAGUACAUAUUAAACAAAAGGUUUUGUCAUAUUCAACCAAGUGCUUUAUAAACACACUGGCUAAAGAACAAUCAUAAAACAGAUUAAUGUCUGUCUGUAAUUCUAAAUUUAUUGCAGAAAUAGCAUUAACAUUUGACCAUGCUCAUACAGCAUAGUAAAAAAGGAUCUAAUGCAUACACAAGAAUGAAGGUUCAUAAAUUACUUUACAAGUUUUGCCACAAACAGUUCACCUACCCAAAGGUUCCCAUUACACGUGUAGAUACGUGUGUAUUUGAAUCCAAUUCCAACGCUAUCUUAGCAAGCCCAAAAUCUGCAACCUGUAAAAAUAAAAAUAAAUGAAUAAAAAAGCAUCUUUAAGAGUAUGAACUCUGACCUACAAAUUUAGAUGGAGAAAGUAAAUUGUUUGUCGAAAAAAUAAGGCGGAAAACUCAGGCAUACCCGAGCUUCAAAACUGCUAUCAAGAAGAAUGUUCGAUGACUUGAUAUCCCUGUGAAUAAUGCGAGGAUGGCCUGGUAAAUCAAAAAGUAAAAUGUUUCAGUACAUGAUACAAAUGAAAGCAGUUCACAUUCAGACCAGGAGAACAUAAGGAAGACACAAUUUUACAUUAAACUCAUGCACGUAUUUAGAUAAUUUAAGAUGGUUAUUUAGCUCAUAAUAAUGUUGAUCGAGUUGUCUUUGUUUUAUACUUAAAGGGCAUUGGGAAAAUUAUAAUGUUGGACCAGCACGGCAAAAUGUGGAAGACGACAAUGAGAAGCUCUAUCAAAGAUAAAGUACCAUAAGAAUGUAUUGAUUGCUUUUUUACAAUCAAUGACAUAAAUGAAUCCAGAAACAAAC
rnacentral:lncRNA from 1 species